AUUGAACGCUGGCGGCAUGCUUUACACAUGCAGGUCGAACGGUAACAGGUUAAGCUGACGAGCGGCGAACGGGUGAGUAAUGCAUCGGAACGUGCCCGAUCGUGGGGGAUAACGCAGCGAAAGCUGCGCUAAUACCGCAUACGAUCUGAGGAUGAAAGCGGGGGACCGUAAGGCCUCGCGCGAGCGGAGCGGCCGAUGUCAGAUUAGGUAGUUGGUGGGGUAAAGGCCCACCAAGCAGACGAUCUGUAGCUGGUAUGAGAGGACGACCAGCCACACUGGGACUGAGACACGGCCCAGACUCCUACGGGAGGCAGCAGUGGGGAAUUUUGGACAAUGGGCGAAAGCCUGAUCCAGCAAUGCCGCGUGCAGGAAGAAGGCCUUCGGGUUGUAAACUGCUUUUGUACGGAGCGAAAAGGUCCUUUCUAAUACAAGGGGCUCAUGACGGUACCGUAAGAAUAAGCACCGGCUAACUACGUGCCAGCCGCCGCCGUAA
rnacentral:rRNA from 1 species